rnacentral:tRNA from 3 species
GGUGAAGUGUCCGAGUGGCUGAAGGAGCUCGCCUGGAAAGCGUGUAUAGGAGAAAUCUUAUCGUGGGUUCGAAUCCCACCUUCACCGCCA